CUGGCUCAGGACGAACGCUGGCGGCGUGCCUAACACAUGCAAGUCGAGCGAGGAGAUUCCUUCGGGAUGAUCCUAGCGGCGGACGGGUGAGUAACACGUGGGCAACCUGCCUCAUAGAGAGGAAUAGCCUUCCGAAAGGGAGAUUAAUACCUCAUAACAUUGCAGUUUCGCAUGGAACAGCAAUUAAAGGAGUAAUCCGCUAUGAGAUGGGCCCGCGGCGCAUUAGCUAGUUGGUGAGGUAACGGCUCACCAAGGCGACGAUGCGUAGCCGACCUGAGAGGGUGAUCGGCCACAUUGGGACUGAGACACGGCCCAGACUCCUACGGGAGGCAGCAGUGGGGAAUAUUGCACAAUGGGGGAAACCCUGAUGCCAGCAACGCCGCGUGAGUGAUGACGGCCUUCGGGUUGUAAAGCUCUGUCUUCAGGGACGAUAAUGACGGUACCUGAGGAGGAAGCCACGGCUAACUACGUGCCAGCCGCCGC
rnacentral:rRNA from 1 species